rnacentral:rRNA from 1 species
UACGUGAGCAGCGAGCGUUGUUCGGAGUUACUGGGCGUAAAGGGUGUGUAGGCGGUUUGGUAAGUCUGGUGUGAAAUCUCCCGGCUCAACUGGGAGGGUGCGCCGGAAACUGCCGGACUAGAGUGCGGGAGAGGAGAGUGGAAUUCCUGGUGUAGCGGUGAAAUGCGUAGAUAUCAGGAGGAACACCGGUGGUGUAGACGGCUCUCUGGACCGUAACUGACGCUGAGACACGAAAGCGUGGGUAGCAAACAGG